GAUAAAUUUUUUAUGGUUUAAAAAAUUUAUUUUAUAUUUAUUUUACAUAUAAAUUUUAGUGUUAAUUUUUAAUUAUUUUAAUAAUAAUUGAUUGAAUAUUUAUAGUAAUUAAAAUUAAAAAUUUAAGAAAUUAAGAUUUAGUAAUAUGAAAAUUAAUAACUAAUUUUGUGCCAGCAGUUGCGGUUAAACAAAAGUUAAAUUAAAUUAUUUCAGUAUAUAAUUAAUAAGUAUAAAAUUAAAGUAAAUAUUAAAUUAUUAAGUGAAAUUUUAAUUUAAUUAAAAUUUAUAUAAAAAUUAUGAUUUAAUAAAUUUUAAUAUAAACUAGGAUUAGAUACCCUAUUAUUAAAAAUUUAAUUAAAAAUACUAAAAUAGUAAAUAUUAUAUUAUUAAAACUUAAAUAAUAUGGCGGUAUUUUAGUUCAUUUAGAGGAAUCUGUCUAAUAAUUGAUAAUCCACGAAUAAAUUUACUUAAAUUAAUAUUUUGUAUAUCAUUGUUAAAAAAAUAUUUUUUAAUAAAAAUAAUAUUUUAAAAUUUUUAAUAUAAAUUAAUUCAGAUCAAGAUGCAGAUUAUAUUUAAGUUUAAGAUGGAUUACAAUAAAAUUAUUUAAAUGGAAAGAAUUUUGUAAAAUUUAAUUGAAGGUGGAUUUAAAUGUAAUUUUAAUUAGUUUAUUAAAAUGAUUUAAUAUUAAAAUAUGUACAUAUUGCCCGUCACUUUCAUUUAAAAGUUGAAAUAAGUCGUAACAAAGUAGAGGUACUGGAAAGUGUUUCUAGAAUGAA
rnacentral:ncRNA from 1 species